rnacentral:lncRNA from 1 species
GUGAAUGGCUGUAUUACUGCCUCUCACGCAUGUGCUUGUGUAGAACAUCGUUUUCAUUGCAGUACAAAACACAGCAUGAUGGAUAUAACCCAUUUGGUUACUGUUGAAACAAGAGACCUCUGUCCUCAGCCAUUGGGAAGAAUCUCACAUGGAUUGAAUGGAUGAUUUUGUUACAGACAGGCUACACACUGAACUCGUACUUUUGGACCGCAGUUAAGCGGUAGACAGCAAAACACACCGACAGUGCAGCAGGCAGUUUGCUGACAAAUCAGAUGCUCUGACAGCACGAGGGAAGGCCUUCUGCUCACCUGUGCCUUGAGGCAGCCCUGCCGGGUUCGGCUCAGCAGAGGCAGCGCUCACCGCUCGGAGGCUGCGGAGGGCUGCCGCGCUGCCGACCAGCAGAGGGGGCUUUGGCACAGGAGAGGCGGCACGGCGGCGGCUCUCGGCUUCAGGGAGCGAAUCUCCCGGGGUCCGCUUCAACCACUUGAAUAAGACCCUCAGGCUCUUUAGCCCUGCUGAGCUAUGGAAAGGACGGGAGCCCUUUUACCUGUCAGCAAUUGGCAGCUGUCUGCAAGGGAUUUCUCUCUGACCCACACUCUUUGAGCAAGAUAAAGCCAUGUCGAAAGCCGAAGAGGUGAACAGCAAAGCCAUUGUUGGCUGGGUUCUGCUGUCUGCCCGAUGAACGUGUGGGGAAAAGGCUUUCAGUGCCCUCGGCAGUUCCUGUGCCACCGGCGGGCUGUAAAUGCCACUGUAUGUCUCCCCAGCCAGCCCAAAUACGGGCCUGACCAAUCCUAGCACCAAUCCAGGUACUUUUAGUAAAAUUCUGAAGGAAAAAUAAUACCGAUCUCCCCUCCAAAAUCCUUUACUUGUAACAUGUAAAGCUUUUUUAAACAGACAUAAAUUAUUCUAUAUAGCUCAUUCCCAAACCAUGAUGCUCAGGGAAUAAAAAGGGCACAUGAGGGUUC